rnacentral:rRNA from 1 species
AACGUAGGUGGCAAGCGUUAUCCGGAAUUACUGGGCGUAAAGGGUGCGUAGGCGGGUCUUUAAGUCAGGGGUGAAAUCCUGGAGCUCAACUCCAGAACUGCCUUUGAUACUGGCGAUCUUGAGUCCGGGAGAGGUGAGUGGAACUGCGAGUGUAGAGGUGAAAUUCGUAGAUAUUCGCAAGAACACCAGUGGCGAAGGCGGCUCACUGGCCCGGUACUGACGCUGAGGUGCGAAAGCGUGGGGAGCAAACAGG